rnacentral:lncRNA from 10 species
CAGGGAAAGCCCAGCACCCCACACCCCGCAGUGUGAGGGCCAGAUCCUCUCCAGGGAGGAACAGCAGGCUGUAGCCCUGGGCCUUGUGGAUGGAGAGGACCAGAAAAGGUGGAGAUUGCGGUGGAGGGGUUGGGGGAGGCAGUCCUUCCAGGAGGACGUAACAGCUUCAGCCAAGGCUAGGAAGUCGGAAAGUACGAGGUCCAAAUGACACCAGCAAGUCCUUGAGCUUGUGCACACUGAGGCACAGAGGGAGAAGGGUAUGGAAAGGCUGGCUGGGGCUUGAGCCUGAAGUGACAUGGAGCCAGGCUGAGCCCUUGCUCUGGUGACAGGGAGCCCCUCCUGGCCUUCCUGACAGACUUGACCUCCAGCAGGGAAUCUGACUGAGACCUGCAGCCUCCAGACCUCGGAGAGCCAAGACAGGACGGAUGCAUGAACCAGAGCUGGAGAAAAC